rnacentral:rRNA from 1 species
AACAAACGCUGGCGGCGUGCCUAACACAUGCAAGUCGUACGAGAAAGUCCGCUUCGGUGGAUUAGUAAAGUGGCGCACGGGUGAGUAACGCGUGGAUAAUCUACCCUCUAGUUGGGAAUAACGUACCGAAAGGUGCGCUAAUACCGAAUGAUACUGCACAACUACUGUUGUACAGUCAAAGAAGGCCUCUGUUUACAAGCUUUUGCUAAAGGAUGAGUCCGCGUACCAUUAGCUAGUUGGUAGGGUAAUGGCCUACCAAGGCGACGAUGGUUAGCUGGUCUGAGAGGAUGAUCAGCCACACUGGAACUGAGACACGGUCCAGACUCCUACGGGAGGCAG